GGGCACAUAACUCAGUGGUAGAGUGCUGUCUUCACACGGCAGAAGUCGCAGGUUCGAGCCCUGCUGUGCCCA
rnacentral:tRNA from 1 species